AACGAACGCUGGCGGCAGGCUUAACACAUGCAAGUCGAGCGCGCAGCUUACUGCGAGCGGCAGACGGGUGAGUAACGCGUGGGAAUCUACCCAGAACUACGGAAUAACAUGAAGAAAUUUGUGCUAAUACCGUAUACGCCCUUCGGGGGAAAGAUUUAUUGGUUUUGGAUGAGCCCGCGUUGGAUUAGCUAGUUGGUAGGGUAAUGGCCUACCAAGGCGACGAUCCAUAGCUGGUCUGAGAGGAUGAUCAGCCACACUGGGACUGAGACACGGCCCAGACUCCUACGGGAGGCAGCAGUGGGGAAUAUUGGACAAUGGGCGCAAGCCUGAUCCAGCCAUGCCGCGUGAGUGAUGAAGGCCUUAGGGUUGUAAAGCUCUUUCACCGGUGAAGAUAAUGACGGUAACCGGAGAAGAAGCCCCGGCUAACUUCGUGCCAGCAGCCGCCGCGG
rnacentral:rRNA from 1 species